ACGGAAGGCAGCAGUGGGGAAUAUUGCACAAUGGGGGAAACCCUGAUGCAGCGACGCCGCGUGAGUGAAGAAGUAUUUCGGUAUGUAAAGCUCUAUCAGCAGGAAAGAAAAUGACGGUACCUGACUAAGAAGCCCCGGCUAACUACGUGCCAGCAGCCGCGGUAAUACGUAGGGGGCAAGCGUUAUCCGGAUUUACUGGGUGUAAAGGGAGCGUAGACGGCUUUGCAAGUCUGAAGUGAAAGCCCGGGGCUCAACCCCGGAACUGCUUUGGAAACUGUAGAGCUAGGGUGCAGGAGAGGUAAGUGGAAUUCCUAGUGUAGCGGUGAAAUGCGUAGAUAUUAGGAGGAACACCAGUGGCGAAGGCGGCUUACUGGACUGUAACUGACGUUGAGGCUCGAAGGCGUGGGGAGCAAACAGGAUUAGAUACCCUGGUA
rnacentral:rRNA from 1 species